GUCUACGACCACGCCACCCUGAACAAGCCUGAUCCCAUCUGAUCUCGGAAGCUAUGCAGGGUCGGGCCUGGUUAGUACUUGGAUGGGAGACCACCUAGAAAGACCAGGUGCCGUAGGUG
ensembl:rRNA 5S_rRNA 5S ribosomal RNA